rnacentral:rRNA from 1 species
AGUCACUGACAUUAGAUACCCGGGUAGUCCAGGGUGUAAACGCUGCAGACUUGGUGUUGGAAGUCCUUUGGGGGCAUUCAGUGCCGGAGAGAAGUUGUUAGGUCUGCUACUUGGGGAGUACGUCCGCAAGGAUGAAACUUAAAGGAAUUGGCGGGGGAGCACCGCAACGGGAGGAGCGUGCGGUUUAAUUGGAUUCAACACCGUAAACUCACCAGGGAAGACUGUUACAUGAAAGCCGAGAUGAAGACUCUGCUAGAUUUUCAG